UUUGCUCAAGACACUUUACUGCUGAUUGCUUUCACCAAAUAACAAAUAAUCGCAAACGGAGACGUCUAUUGGAGUCUGCAGUACCAACCUUAUAUUUGCCAGUUUUGGCUCCUGCUCCAUCAGGGGUAGACAUCGAAUAUGCCGUGGAAGCUAAUAUACCAGAACAAUCCGACGCUCAUUUAGACACGCCUUCGAGUAUAAACACGGAUGAUUUUACUGGGCAACAUUUAAAUACUGCAGUUGCGGUUCCAAUGCAAGAGAGUGUUAAUGAUCACAUCACAGGCACAUCUUCAAACCAGAAUGAUGAUCAUAAGUUACAAGCUUCAGUAAUGAAGACAACACCUCAACAAGAAAACGUCAUAUUACAAACACCUACCAGAAAAAGAAAAGUAUGCCAAAUCUAUGAUCCUGAUACACCAUCAGCUUACGACACACCCGUCAAAAAACGACUCUGUAGAAGAAUCAUUGAACUAAAAGGCAAAGUGCAAGAGAAGAAUUUGAAAUUGAAAAAACUACGGGAAUCUAACCGAAGACUUAAACGUCAAAUUAUUUCAUUAAAGUCACUCUUGGCGGAAUUGGAGAAAAAAGAGCUUAUUACACCAGAUACCAGUUUAAUGCUCGAUUCAUUAGGAGUAAAGUGUCGUGAAAUCGUUGAUCGGCAAAUACAAAAACGAAAAACUGGUAAAAACAUACGGAAAAAAUAUUCACCGCAGUUGAGGGCAUUUGCGCUAACGCUUAAUUUUUAUUCAACUAAAGCCUAUAACUACGUGCGUCAAACCUUUAACACAUGUUUGCCUUCCAUCAAGACGAUAUCGACAUGGUAUCGGUCUGUUGAUGGUAGGCCCGGUUUCACUAAAGAGGCUUUCGAAGCAUUAAAAUUAAAAGCUAAACAAUCUAGUACUCCGAUUAACGUCUGCAUUGUUUUCGACGAAAUGAAAAUCGGGGCUGGUAUUGACAAAAAUUAUGGUUACGUAGAUUUUGGGGAGG